GAGGAGAGAGCUGUUGCGUCUGUUCCAAUCUCCAAAUCUAGUUGUCACUUUAACUCAAAUCCUCUGUCUCUAAUUCCUCUGAAUCACUGUGUAUUUUGAAGCUAAAAUAAUCUUAAAUUUUUUUCUUUCGUCCAGUCUAAUGUCAUCCCUAUUUGUUUCUCUCGUCUCUGUAAAAUUUAAAUGACACAAACAUGGUAAGCAACAUAUUGACGUGCAACCCAGGAAGAAUCUACUGUUGCUUUUCUUCGUCUCAUCCAUUAUCCUCCGCUCCUCCUCUCUCUCAGCAGGAUGACUAUUGGCAAAUGGAGAGAGAUCGAUUUGUUUCUUUGAAGACGGAUUGUGAGAAGAAAACAGAACAGCUCAAUCCAUCAUUCUGUCUGCCUGAGGCCCUGCGCCAUGAACAAUAUAUUACUGGUGGUAUCUGAAAGCACCCGCGGGACACCGGCGCAGUUCAAAGCCGUAGCCACAAACAAACAGAAUGGAACCACGCGACUUAUUCCAGAUCAUUCGCUCCACUUCUUCAGCGUCACGCCAAUUAGGAUCAGAGAGAGGCAGCAUUUCAACACCUUUAUCUGACAAUCUAGACUCAAAGCAAGACGAGACAUUUGCCAGCAUCCAUGAACUGCUCCUGGACACUUCACUGCUGCUUCACCAGAGGAGCCGCAGAAACAUGCAGAAGAAGGCCGGAGAAGAAGAACAGCUGGAGUUCGUUGCCUCUAUGAAUUCAGACUCUGGUGUGAAGGCAGGGAUGUUUAAUGCUUUUAUUUGGGAUCCAUGCAUUCGAAACAUGAAUAAUUACAAAUGUUUGAAGUGUC